rnacentral:rRNA from 1 species
CUAACCUACGGGACGCAGCAGUAGGGAAUUUUCGUCAAUGGGCGCAAGCCUGAACGAGCAAUGCCGCGUGAACGAGGAAGGUCUUCGGAUCGUAAAGUUCUGUUGAAGGGGAAAAAGAGCGGAGAGAGGGAAUGAACUCCGAUUGAUAUUACCCUUCGAGGAAGUCACGGCUAACUACGUGCCAGCAGCCGCGGUAAUACGUAGGUGGCGAGCGUUAUCCGGAAUGAUUGGGCGUAAAGGGUGCGUAGGCGGCCUGCUAAGUCUGGAGUGAAAGGUACCGGCUCAACCGGUACAGGCUCGGGAAA